GCUGAAAUGGGCUACUGCACAGAUGUGAAAUUGAGUUGGAGCAUUCUAGCCUGUGGUUUAGCUUCAAGGAGCAUUUACCAAUUGAACCACUUGGAGUGCAGCAUAUUUCAAUAAACAGGAGCAAGGAGGCUUUCAGCAUUACCCCGGAUCACACGGAGACCAGCAAGCAGGAAUUCUCCACGUAGAGCACUUGCAACUCUAACUCCAACAUCUCAAGACCCCAACAUUUCCCUGCCAUCCGCCCCCCCAAGAACAUGAAACUAAUCAUUUUUAGCGAUGCUUCUCGUGCAAGCCGUCCUUUGCGGGUACUCUGUGCAGCUGGUUUCACAACAUUUCUUACUGGUGAAAAUAGGAAAUGUUGUCCCUUAGCUUGGGAAGCUAGAAAAAUGAGUUGUUUAAAAAGUACUUUAGCUGCUGAAACACUGGCUCAUGAGGCAGUGGCUAUGAGAUUCCAUUGAAUAUUUUAAAUGAGAUUCUGUACCAGGGAUAUACUGAAGAUAGUGUAUCCAUUGAAUAUUAAGUAGAUAAUCAUUCAUUGUGGGAUAAUGUACAUUCAGCAAAAAGUACAUGUGAAGAAAGGUUAUGAAUUGACCUUGCUGGCUUGAAACAAAUGCGGGAGAGAAUGGACAUGUGUAAAAUCAAAUGGAUGGGCACAAGUCAUCAACUGUCUGAUUGUAUAUGCAUUUCUUUUUUAUAGAACAAAAAGCUGUUGGGGUCCAAGAGGAAGGGUGUCUCACAAUGUAAUGCAAUGUAAUGUAAGAGAAGUGAGAUUUUGCCUUCGAUGAAGCAGGUUGGAACCUAGCACAACUGGGUGUCUGCUGUUUACUGGUGGGAUCCAACAGCUUCUGCUGGAGCUGGAGCAGGCAGAAUCCCCAUGGAUUUUUGGGGAACAUUAUCACUUACCAAAAAGAGGGAGCAUAGUCUUAAGAAAAGGUCUUAAUGGUACUGACAACAAACCUUGUGCUUGGAAAGCUGAUCUGUUAGAAUUGCACUGCAUUGCCAGAAAUCCAGAUUCUAUGAUUUGACUUUGCAGACUGAUUUAUACUUGUAAAACCCCUGGCAUACACAGGGCUACAACCAGAUAAGAGCACCAAGCUUUUUCAAAGCGCUUGUGUUCUGAUUAUAUAUCAUUUUCUUCAGUUACCAGUUUGAUGUAAAGUCCAGUCCUGAUCAUACAACAUUGAUUUAUUUAGUGCAACAAAGAAAAAACAAACAUGUAAUGAUUUGUGAUGUAGGAAUUGGCAGUAAAGAAUGAUUUAUCAGAGAAUUUGAAUGAAGUGACUUUGAAUUAAGAGGAGCAGUGUGUGUUUGGGGCACCCAACUGGAGGAGCUUCAAAAUCCACAGAUAACCUACCGUGCUUUCAGGAGCAAAGCCUUAACCCUCGCGGCAACCAAUAAUCCAAUAAAGAGGCAGAUGAUGCCUGUAGCUAUGAUUAGUAGUAUGGGAGUUACAUCUGUAUUCCCUAGUGGCCCAGGAAGGCUUCUUUGGAGAUGGAAUUGGAUUUUUAGCUUCAUUAAGCUCUCAAUCUUAUGUAAUCUGAAAUCAGAGGAAAGCAAAUGCUGUGUGCUGGGUGACAUUGCUCAAGCUAGUAAAACUAUCCUGCAAAUAUAAUUGCAAACUGUGCAUGCAGUUAUAACUUAUAUGGUAAUCCUGAUGAUUUGAAAGAUGAUUGUUUCAAACUACUUUAAACUUUCUAUAGAAUAAUAAAUGUUUAAGCAGAAGUUGAAAAA